GAUGAACGCUGGCGGCGUGCCUAACACAUGCAAGUCGAACGGAGUCCAGCCUUUAAGACCUUCGGGUCAAAGAGGGGAAGACUGAGUGGCGGACGGGUGAGUAACACGUGGGCAACCUGGCUCAUAGAGGGGGAUAACAGAGAGAAAUUUCUGCUAAUACCGCAUAAGCACACACUGCCGCAUGGCAGAGUGUGAAAAGAGAAUCGCUAUGAGAUGGACCCGCGUCUGAUUAGCCAGUUGGCAGGGUAAGAGCCUACCAAAGCGACGAUCAGUAGCCGAUCUGAGAGGAUGAACGGCCACAUUGGGACUGAGACACGGCCCAAACUCCUACGGGAGGCAGCAGUGGGGGAUAUUGCACAAUGGGGGGAACCCUGAUGCAGCGACGCCGCGUGAGUGAAGAAGUAUUUCGGUAUGUAAAGUUCUAUCAGCAGGGAAG
rnacentral:rRNA from 1 species